GCUUGCAAUCAGACUCGCCUUCAGUUGAUCAACCUUCCUUCUGGUUGGUGCACUCUGCUGUUGGUGGGCCAGCAUCAGUUGGGGCGGCGGGACAAAGGCAGUGGGAAUGUGGCUCGCUUCGGUGAGUGUUAUAGCCCAUUGUGUCAUGCCGCCAGCCCCGACUGAGGUCCGCGGUUCGCCUAGGAUGCUGGCUUAAUGGUUGUAAGCGA
rnacentral:rRNA from 1 species